CUGUUUCCUUCCUAAAAGCCCGUCCCAUAUUUGGAGCAGCUCCUUCUACUCCCAGCCCCGUGCAAUGUCAGCAGCAAAUGAUCAUUAAAAAGAACUCUUUGCUUGUGGAAUAAACUUGAAUCGCUGGCGAAGGGGCUGAAGAACAGACAAAACAAAUAAACAGCUACAGGGCUCGUUUGAGUCAUUGGACCGCCUCACCCGAGACAAAGUAAGUUGCAGAGCUUCUGCUCCAGGUAAAAAGGACACAGAAGCGAAAAGACUGCGUUAGUUUGAGGAGGAAAAACAACCCGUUGCCGUGCUGCGCCCUCGUCCCGAAGGCAGAACGUCACCCCGCCGGCGCUCGCUCGCUCUCAGACACACAGACACACACGUUCAGGCGGCUGCGCCUGUCACUUCUGCAGAAGCAAUGCCGAGCCGUUUGCUUCUCAUCCCAAUGCUUUCCACCCUGUUUUGCAUACGCAGGCCAAUCCAGAGAUAAACUUACUUUUCUAACUUUUUCUAGGGACGGGGACAGGUGGAGUAGCAGAAAUGCGGAAAUCUCCCACCCAAAAUAAGCAAAAGACACAGAAGCAUAUCCAGAGUCGAAAACCAGCACUGAAGGAUUGCUCACCUCUGCAAGCGGGAGGAAGAAGCCACGAUCAACAAGCCAAACUAAUGCCAACUUUGAGGCUUUCGGUAGGAUUCUGGGAAGGCGUCACUUCCUAGAGCGGUAAAUAGAAGAGGGGUGGAUUCCGAAACAGGCCCUUUAAAACUCAGCUCCACCUCCUCCAAUCUCUGGGUUGCUUAUGCUCCUGAUGCAACAGCCCUAAGAAUACUAAGCCACAGUAUCGUUCCAUUUCCUCCCUGUAUCAUUUGAAAUUUUACCUUUCUGACACUCAAGACUAGGAUGAAAGUGGUGGUGCUGGUGGUGAUGAGGAUAAAUGACACUUUGCUUCAAACUCUCCUGCUCCUCUGAAUGGUUCUUCAGGUAGGAGCCUGAUGGAAAAAAUGUCAUGAUGGCCUUGUCAGCAGUCCUCAGCCUUUUCAGAACUGAAAGCUACCUUUAACCCCAACUUGCAAUAUUAACAUUUAUUUUAGUUUUAACUCUC